rnacentral:rRNA from 1 species
CAGGUAGCCGCGGGAAUACGGAGGGUGCAAGCGUUAAUCGGAAUUACUGGGCGUAAAGCGCACGCAGGCGGUCUGACAAGUCAGAUGUGAAAUCCCCGGGCUUAACCUGGGAACUGCAUUUGAAACUGUCAGGCUGGAGUCUUGUAGAGGGGGGUGGAAUUCCAGGUGUAGCGGUGAAAUGCGUAGAGAUCUGGAGGAAUACCGGUGGCGAAGGCGGCCCCCUGGACAAAGACUGACGCUCAGGUGCGAAAGCGUGGGGAGCAAACAGGAUUAGAUACCCGUGUAGUCCCUGUCUCUUAUA